CCUUCCAAUCUGUGUAGCGGACAGUAAGAGAAAUAUCUGGGAACUUUCCAUGUGGCUUUGCCUAUAGGGAAGCCAAAAAAUCAUCUUCUCCCAUAGGGUAUUAUUCAGUAAGUGUCGAUUAUCAAAGAUCUUGAUGAUUUCUUUCUAUCCAGAGUGUCCAUAAGUUUGUGAAUACCGCACAUUGCCACAAGGGCUUUGCUUUCUUUUGUAGCUC
rnacentral:lncRNA from 1 species